AAAACAUGGUUUUUUGUUUAUAUAAAAAAUCUGACCUGCUCAGUGAAUUUUAAAUAGCUGCAGUAUUUUGACUGUACAAAGGUAGCAUAAUCACUUGUCUUUUAAUUGAGGUCUGGAAUGAAUGGUUUGAUGAAGGAAAUACUUUAUUUAUUUUAAUAGGAAAAUUUAAUUUUUAAGUUAAAAAGCUUGAAAAUUUUUUUAUAGGACGAGAAGACCCUAUAGAGCUUUAUUUAUAUAUUUUUAUAUUUUUAUGGGUUAUAUAUUUUUAAUAGAAUUAUAUGAAUUUUGUUGGGGCGAUAAAAAAAAUAUUAUAACUUUUUUUAUUUUUUACAUUAAUUUAUGUUUGUUUGAUCCUUUAUUUUGGAAAAAAAGAAUAAGUUACCUUAGGGAUAACAGCGUUAUUAUUUCGGAGAGUUCUUAUUGAUGAAAUAGUUUGCGACCUCGAUGUUGGAUUAAAAUAAGAUAUAGAAGUAGAAUGUUAUAUUCUUGGUCUGUUCGACCUUUAAAUUUUUACAUGAUCU
rnacentral:rRNA from 1 species